CGGGAGGCAGCAGUGGGGAAUAUUGUGCAAUGGGGGAAACCCUGACACAGCGACGCCGCGUGAGUGAAGAAGGCCUUCGGGUCGUAAAGCUCAAUAGUAUGGGAAGAAAGAAAUGACGGUACCAUACG
rnacentral:rRNA from 2 species